AGCGACAUACUCACAACCACAUAGAUAAGGGGGAGUUGUGCAGACAGCUUUUCAGGGUUAAGCAAUUGACUAUCAAUCAAUAAUCUUUUAUGAAAGAAGAGAUGGUGCAGCACACGCAUGCCCAAUAUUAAGAGAGAGAAGACAUUUAUUGAGGCAAGCAGCUGGAGUGGACCUGCCCCCAUCACCAGGCCAGCUUCCCACCUGCACGUGCAGCUCUUUCUUCUUUUGCAGGAGGCUGGCUCUGCUCAUUAGACAUGCAACAAAGAGCUGGCCUGUGGAGCACACAUCCAUAUUCAUAACUCAAGUCAGCUGGAAAGUUGUACAUUUUUCUUUCUGGGAAGUCAUGGCGACAAAGACUGAAGACCCAGGCAGCACAAAUGUGAAUGAUGGAUCUCUUGGAAGAACAACAAAGACUGAAGUGAGUAUAUUUUAUGCUUGGAAAUGAGCAAAUCAUUCCUUUUGACAAGCCAUUGAUGUUGGGGUUCCAUGGAAAAGAGAAGGAGGUGAACAAAAGGAAGAAAUGCAGAGAAAAAUAUGGAAUAGAAAUAUGAGGGAAGAUAUUAGCAAACUGGCUACAUCUUUUAUGACAAACUCAACUGAUUACAUCUUUUCCAAGAACAUCUUCAGAGGUUUGCUGGAGUUUGGAUUUACUACUGAGUCAUAUUUGGAGCAUGCUGGAAUCUUACAACUGAGAUUACCGAGUCAGAAACUGUUGUUUUUGUUGUAAGAACACUCAACAUGGCCGGGCACGGUGGCUCACACCUGUAAUCCCAGCACUUUGGGAGGCCGAGGCAGGUGGAUCACCUGAGGUCAGGAGUUCAAGACCAGCCUUACCAACAUGGUGAAACCCCAUCUCUACUAAAAACACAAAAAAGCCUCUGGUGCAUUUCCUGGGAGAUUAUGGGUGCCUAAUAUUAACUGAAUAAAUAAAGAAUGGAUUGAAAAAUUCAAAGAAUGCAAGCUCCAUGAAAACAGGAAUUUGGCUGACUUGUUCAAUAUUUUUACCCUUGGUGUCAAAUGCCUGGCAGAAUUGUGGGUGCUUAAUAAAUGAAUAUUUUAUAAAUACAUGAAUGAACAUAUGCACACUUCAGAAUGUCAAAAAUGUGAGAGUAAAUGAUGAGAAAGACAUUGACAAAACAAGAGUAAUAACGAUGAGAUAGAACAGGAAGGAAAGAGUGCUAUACUCUGUUAAAGAGCUACAUAUGUUUAACUAUAUAUAUGGAUGUGACUGGAAUCAUGCAAUGAUGCGUUACUCUGUUUCUGUGUGUGUGUUUGUAUAAAAGAAUCAUUGUAAGUUAGACUGUGUUUGUACAAAGGCAUUACCACAUGUCAGACCACCCCUGAGUGUUUAUUAUAUGCAUGAGUCUAAAUGUUAAUGCAAUAUAUUUUAUGCUACCAAGAUAAGGGAAAAGAAAGGCAGUAAGGAAAUAUUGUGCCUUAUUUAAUGUUAAAUAUGUGCAAGUAAAAAUAAUAGAGGACAAGCAAAAA
ensembl:lncRNA LINC02055 long intergenic non-protein coding RNA 2055